rnacentral:rRNA from 1 species
UCUUUUAGAAAUUAAUUUAAAGUCUAACCUGCCCACUGAAUUUUUUUAAAUGGCCGCAGUAUCCUAACUGUGCAAAGGUAGCAUAAUCAUUAGUCUUUUAAUUGAAGGCUGGAAUGAAUGGUUGGAUGAAAUAUUAACUGUUUCAUAAAAAUUUAUAAUAGAAUUUUAUUUUUUAGUCAAAAAGCUAAAAUUUAAUUAAAAGACGAGAAGACCCUAUAAAUCUUUAUAUUUAUAAAAUUACAAUUAUAUAGAUAAUUUAAAUUUUAAUUUUUUAUAAUAUUUUAUUGGGGUGAUAUUAAAAUUUAAUAAACUUUUAAUUUAUAAUUUACAUAAAUUAAUGAAUUUUUGAUCCAUUUAUUAUGAUUAAAAAAUUAAGUUACUUUAGGGAUAACAGCGUAAUUUUUUUAGAGAGUUCAUAUUGAUAAAAAAGAUUGCGACCUCGAUGUUGGAUUAAGAUACAGUUUUAGGUGCAGC